AUUAUUACAUAUCACCUUCGCCGAUCUAUGCUGGCGACUGAAUACACAGAUUCAACGCAUUUACUACAAACACUUAUCUACGCAAAUUAUUCAUGGCGCAAUGUGGAAAAAAUUACGGGAAAGAUCAACAACAUCAGCAAGACAAUCCCUUUGAAUAUCGCAAUGACAAAGGUGAAGUAUAUGUUAUAGAUGUAGCUGAAGACAGCACAGGUGAUGAUGAUAAUGGUUGUAGUGAUAGUGGUAUUGAUUCAGACAAAGCACGCACCAUUCAAAUAGAUGUUCCUAUACCUCCCAGUCAUUCUGUGGGUUCUGAUAAAAGUGGAUUUGCCUUUACCAAUGGCGAUGACCUCUACGUAUAUACCAGUUAUCGUGCUAUUUUAAAACAGGAUAAAAUUAUUUUAAAUUUUCUUUAUGAUGACGGAUCUAAUGAAAAUGUAACUGACUAUGAACUUAUUGUAGAAAGUAAAUUGUAUAAUUUUAUGAUAUUCUAUAUUCCUGAUAUGUAUAUAGAUUCCGCGAAAGAAGGUCCUACUAUUGUUGGUAUUGAUACAGGGGGGUUUUAUCGACAUAGAGCUGGUGUUGUUUACACCAAAUCGAAUGUCAUACCCUGCUUUGACCCAGUGGAUGGCGAUGAUAUUAGAAUUAUCUUCCCUGAAGGUUUGAAAAGUUUAGGCAAGGCGUGUGUUGGACUUGAUUGUAGUCAUAAAAUUAUUGAGAUAAAAACAGAAAAUCUAAUAACAUUAAUACCACUCUGUGACUGGAAAAAGACAACUUAUCCCUCAGUAACAAAAGCAGAAAAUUUUGAAACAUCGACACCAAUCUAUACCCCAUUAACAAAAGCAAAGACCAUCCAUAUUUCCAAUGCAGGAAAUGAAUUCUUGGAAAGACCAGACUAUCGCGAAAAGAUGAGUUAUGGAAGAGUUAAAUCGGCCUUUUGAUGUUAUAAAAAUCAUUAAUUAGACAUUUAUUCACAUCCCAAGGCCAUGAUCAACGGAUUUUUAAAUCGGCCUUCUGAUGUUAUAAAAAUCAUUAAUUAGACAUUUAUUCACAUCCCAAGGCCAUGAUCAACGGAUUUUAACACGAUUGGCAGUUAAUAAUUUGAUAAAAAAAAUUGACAUUGUUUAUUGUCGUAGCAAUGACAAUCGAGAAUACACUGUUUCUCAAACAGAUCAAACUAAGCGCAGAAUGAAUUAAUUUGACGGACAUAUUCAACAUACUCCCUUUUCAUUAUCAAUUAUUUAACUAUUAUAGCGAGAACUGUACGCUUGUUAUCUAGAUCUUACAUAAUGCAUCUUUAAUUUAAUUGACCAAUGUCAGAACUGAUAUCUCUCUAAUGUUCAUGUAUUUUAACUGUUUGAGUUUAAUCUUAUGUAACCACAAAAUAAAUGACGUAAUUAUA